rnacentral:lncRNA from 1 species
AAUAAAAUCUGAUGUGUAAAACCCUUCAGAUUUUGUGUAGAUGUACACGCAUGGCUCUUUGUUCACUUGGACACCUGUCAAAAUUUAACUGGUAGAUGAAUGUUAGUGGGAUGGAGAAACGAGAGCAAUAAUCAUGAGUGCAGUAAAGCAUGCGCAGUUAUAAAUGCUGAUUACACGUUCUCCUAUUAAAAUGUUUUUCAUGAAAACCCACUAAUAAUACAUCCGUUUGAAACACAUUCUCUUCACAUUCUCUGAAUAUUUGAACUCCUGAAAAAUACAAGAUAUUUGAAAAAAUCAAGAUCAAAUCUCUCGAAUUUUAAACUCUGAGAUUUAAGUCAAAGAAAAUAAAUUUCUAAGAACCUCAGAAUAAAGACAUAAUUUUCAGAAUAUUCAUCAAUAAAUCAGAGUUUGUUCUAAAAUCCAUAGCUCAAUAAUGUGCUUGUGAAAUGUGUGUGUGGAUAUGUUAAAUCAGAGAAUAUAAAAUUUCACAAUUUCGUAAUUAUAAGGUAGACAAAGAUAAUUUAUUUAAACUCUCAAAACUCAGACUAGGACAUACUCUGAAGAUAACAAUAAAAUAAUCUACCCCCCUUUUUUUUUUUUUUUUUUUUUUUUUUUUUGGGACGCUUCUCAGUGUAAGUGAGGCACGACCUUUAAAUAUACUAUUGCAUUAGUAUUUCUCCAGUAAUCAGAGAUUGUGACUGGUCACCAUAGAUUAUAAAAUCUUAGCAAUUACUUAAUACCAGCAAAUGUUUGGUUCUUCCCAGUCACUGUCAUAUUAACAUCUAAGAUCUCAAAGGAGUACCAUGCUUAUUUUUCAGGGGGUUUUGUCUCAGGUAACAAAAACAUCAGAGUUUAUAAUCACUGUCUAGUAUAUGAGAGAAAAUUUAAAUUAAUCAGUCUCACUUAUAAUUAAGAUAUGUGAAGUAGUAGAGUCUCAAUGAUAUCAACAUGCAUAUUGUGAACUAAAGUAGCACAAAAUUGAGAUCAGGAUUAAGGAACUUAGCUGAGAUUCAUGAUUACUAAUUCAGAACAUGCUUCAUAGUAUCUUCAUAGGUGAUUUAUCUCAGAGAAGAUAAAAAUGAGAUCAUUUAUCAAGAUUCAGAGUUUUAUAUGCAUCAGAGAAU